CUGCGACAGACUGCGACAGGCUGUGACAGGGGUUCUGUUGAGGAAAGAAGAUGGCUCAUGCUCUCCCUCUCCCGAUUCCCUGCCCAGUCCAGCUUGGAAGUAUAAAAGGUGACUCCCUGGAAGCUCAGCUGCAUGACUAUGUCAGGCAAGGAAGCUAUGUGAAAGUGAAGAAGCUUCUGAAAAAAGGUAUCUUUGUUGAUGCUGUGAAUUCCAUGGGCCAAACUUCUCUCUUCACUGCUGCUUUGCUAGGUCUCGGUAAAAUAGUGGAUGUGCUGUUGGAUUAUGGCUCAGAUGCUAAUCAUCGCUGUUAUGAUGGAAGCACCCCAGUCCACGCAGCUGCGUUCUCAGGAAAUCAGUGGAUUCUUAGCAAGUUAUUGGAUGAAGGAGGUGAUCUGAGAGUACAUGAUAAAGAUGGAAAAAAUCCACAGUACUGGGCUAUGUCAGCUGGGAAAGAAAGCAGUGCUCAGAUGCUGGAGUUUAUACAGCGUUGUACGUUCCACAUGCAGGCUGCCAUUCAAAAUUUUCCCUCUGAUCUACUCAAGAAGGUUGGUUCAUCAAAAGCGCUGGUCUGCAGCCUGUCUAGGUUUGGCGGCCUUGUUCAAGGAAAUGUUGACAGUCCCCUGAGUAGAUUUCUAAAAGGUGGAGCUAAUGCAGCCAAGAACAUUUACAGCUUUGGUUUUGGGAAGUUUUAUCUUGCAGGCAGUGGGCAUCUCGGGUACUUGGCGUCUCUCCCUAUUAUUGGGGAAAAAGAGGUGGUUCAGGCAGAUGACGAACCGACGUUUUCUUACCAUGUUGGACCAUACAUGAUCAUGACAAACUUAAUGUGGGGAGGCAGCAGAGUUACAGUGAAGGAACUCAGCUUUGAGCCCCAUCAGAACUGUUGUAAACUACGCUUAGCUGAUCUUCUCAUCGCAGAGCAAGAACAUAGUAGCAAGCUCCGUCAUCCUCAUUUGCUACAGUUGAUGUCUGUUUGUCUGUCUAGUGACUUGGAGAAAACCCGCUUAGUAUAUGAAAGGGUUAACUUUGGUUCUCUGUACAGCAUCCUUCAUGAAAGGCGUACAGAAUUCCCAGUACUGCACAUGGAGACAAUUUUGCAUGUGCUACUUCAAAUUAAUGACGCUUUGCGUUUUCUACACUCCCGUGGAUUUAUCCACCGUUCGAUUACCUCCUAUGCUAUUCAAAUUGUUUCUUCUGGUGAGGCAAAGCUGUGCAACUUGGAAUACAUGAUAGAGAGCAAAGAUGGUGGAGAACACAGUGAUCUGACACGUAUUCCUGUCCCAGUCCAGCUGUACAAAUGGUGCUCUCCUGAAGUAAUCCUUGAAAAAGUUGUCACAGUGAAAUCAGAUAUUUAUAGCUUCUGUACAGUAAUGCAGGAGGCCUUGACAGAGACCCCUCCCUGGAAAGGUGUUGAAGACUCGGUUAUUAAACAGCUCUUAAUUUCAGGAAAAUCAUUAGAAGCAGAUGUCAGACUUCCUAUGCCCUAUUACAGUAUCGUGAAGUCAGGGCUAGAACCUAAACAGAAGAACCGCUCCAUGAAACUUCAGGAUAUUCAGUAUAUACUGAAAAAUGACUUAAAGGACUUAACUAAGUCUCAAACUGGUCAUGCUGAUGAAAUGUCAAAAGCAACAAGACGCGCUGUUUUUGCCGAUGUGAACAACAUCUGUUUGGCAUCAGCUUUUAGCUACCAGAAGAGAACACAGGAAUUGCAGGGAAAAGAGAUAACCGAGGCUGACCUCUCCGCUGCCCCAAGAUACUCUAAUUUUUCUGAGGAGAAUUGUGCUUUAGUGGACCAAGAGGCAUCAACGAGUCUACAGCCAGUUGGGCAGGACAAAAAUCAUGAUGUAACUUCUGAACUCCAGAUGACCGUCAGUGUCAGUGAUGUGGAUGACAGCCUCUGUAGCUUUGAAAUCAAUGAAAUCUUUGCCAGUUAUCCAGAACUUCACGAAGACUUCCUGGAAGAAGGAGCUAGAUUAGAUCAAACUCUAAAGGAUGAAAAAAGGCAGCAAAAGGAAGGAGAUAAGGCUACCCUCAGAGACCUAUAUGCAUCCCUUGGAGUCCACUGUGAGGAAAAGCCAGUUUAUGAGGAAGGUGGCUUUUCAGAAUCAAGUGUAGCGUAUACUACAGAAGAGAAGGAGAGGAUAAGUGAGGUCUCUGACCUAUGCAUGCUGGCACAGGUGAGAGGAGAUGCUGGGAGAGGAAGGAGUAGUCUGUCCCAAAACGAGCAGCACAUAAGCAAAUGUGUCCUUAAUUUAAAGAUCGUUCAAAGCAUGUUACAGCAGGCAGCAGAUUCCCUGUGUAGAACAGAGGAGAAGCUGGACAAAUUAGAGGCCACUGAAAAACAAAAGAAGCUGCUCCAGGAGAUCAGAAUGAAUCAACUUCCUAAGCAAAUUUUUCAAGAAGGACCCUGGAAUAGACCUGAUGAUACUUCCCAGAAUACCAAUGACCCUUUUUCUGGAGUAAAUACUUUUUUAUGGAAAGCUAUAGGUCCACCAUCAAGUGACUAUAUUCCACCACCGACAACAUGUCAGGCACAAGGAGUGUUGGGUGGAGACAGUUUCCAAGCUGUUUCAAAGGCAGCAAAGGAAAUGGAGGCAAUUCAAAAUGAAAAGUGGAAAUGCUUUCAUGAGAUGAGUAAGAGUAAGAAUGAAAACAACCAUCGUGAUCUCAGCUUCAGUGUGGUGAAAAGCCUGGAUGAUCAAAUGAGCCUAGACCAUGAGCAUUUACUCCCACGUGUAUCUGUAAGACGCAAAAAAAAGUUCAACUUGCAGUGUCAGAGAGGAGGUGAUUCACAUUCUGCAGCAAGUGGAAGUGAAGAGAGGUGGUGCUAUCCGAAAUCAAGAUCUGAAAUUUACAAUACAAAAAUAAGUGAGGAGAGGACGGUGCAGUCAGAAUGGAGGACUGAAGUAACACAAAUGGCCAGAAGAGUGGCCUCAGGACAACUAGAACUCGGCUGUCCAUAUCCAGCCAGUGAGUGUACAUCUGAAAGUGAAGCAGAGAGUAUAAAGGAAGCCUUUCAACAUGUCACUGUUAGACUCCAAAAAAGUCAAGACCAACAAAGAUACAGGUGGCAGACAGGUGAUAACGUUGAGCCUUGGGAUCUGGGCAGUGAGGAUAGAUCUGAAUCUGAGGAGAGUGAUCUGGAGUCUGCAUUUGGAAAUUCUGGAGGGAGAAGUUGCCAGUCACCAUCACAAGAUGAACAAGCAGAGUCUGGAAUAGCCAUUCAUAAGAAUUCAGUCCUCCUUCAACAAGUCGAGAAUCUCUCUAGAGGGCGUUCAAGGGAAUUACAUUGUUCCCUUAAUUCAUCUCCUGAUGUGUCUGAAGAAUUCUUGACUCCUGAUUAUUUCCUUCCUCCUACUACUCAGGGACGCUCAGAACUAGAGGUAAAAAUAACAGAAAAGACAGAAAUGAAGUCUGUGUCAAGAACUCUGGACACCUCAAAUGCUGAGGGCAAAUUAGAAGACGCUUGUGAAGGAUUUUUACAGAAACAGUUACCUGAAGAUGCAGGAUCAGGUAUUCAGGUUUCAGGAGGAAAAAUACUAUUCUGCAGCACAGCAGCACAGAACUCUGGCAAUAGCACACAAGGAGUGAAUCAACUUAGCCAUAUGCCCGUAGCCAGUGUUGAAGCAGCACAAGAAGUGAUACUGUGGGAGCCACAGGAAGAAUCCAAAGAAAAAGAUGUAUCAGCGUCCGAUAUUCAGGAUUUGUCAAGUAUUCCCUAUGAGCAAGAAAACUACUACAGGGAUAUAGAUUGUAAAACACCCAGAGUGAGUCAUGCACCGGUGAGCGUCAGCACUCCGCUCAGCUCAGAAGAAAAAGAUCCAGUAGCCUUUGAGAAAUACAAACACUGCCAUGAAGUAGCUUCAGAUUCUUCCUUUUGCAGUUCUCAAGAGAUCUCUUCUGCAGUGUCCAGGACAUUCACUACAGCCUAUGAAGAGGGAAGGAGCACUGAAAUUCCCUCUGUUCCUUCAGGAAUUUGCUCAUCUGAAUUGAAUGAGCCUGAUGGGUUGCUAGUAGUUGCUUCAUCCUUGAGAAGCACCAGGAAGGCAUCGGCACUCUCACAGGCAUCUAACCACUUCAUUGAUGAGCUGCCUCCACCAGCCCAAGAGCUGCUGGAUGAAAUUGGGCUGCAAGCCUGCAAGAUCCAGAAGACGUUGGAAGGAAGAAGGGAGUAGAGGAAGGUGGAACCGGGGCCAGAGGCGGAGCACCAGAAGAAAGCCGUGCAGGGAGUUCAGAAGGUCCUCUUAAUCUGUAAAGCUACUGGAUGCCGUGCUGGGCAGUAUCGCAUUUAUUAUAUUGGUAGCACUGACUUUGUCGAGCUUGCACAGGCUACUUUGUUCGCUUUUCUUGUUCUCCACCCCCACGGCCCCCCUCAUCUGGGGUACUGUCUCUACCCUGUGCUUUUAAAGGAGAGGAAGCUGCUCUAGACUUAAACUCCAGAGACACUUGAAAAUUUUGUAAUUCUUUGGGGUGGUUGAGACUGACAGCAUUGUGGACCAUUUGCUGGAAUUGCAGAGUGUCUUUCUCAUAGAAUGCAGUUUCUUCUACUGACUCAGAAACACUGAAAGACAGCUGGUAAUACUGUACCUGUGUCCUGUCUAGUGCUCAACCUCUCUGGCUUAGGCACCUAAAUGCUUCACACUGUGAGGGCUUUGGUUACUAUCAGUAUGGUUUGGUAUGUACCUGUGAUGUGUAUGCUAAUGCCAUCAAAUCCCUUAAACAUCUGUUGCAGUCUCAUCUCCCCUGGCUUUCCUUUAAUAGAAACUACAAGUAAGAAGACACAAGAUAAAAUAAAAGCGUUUCCUCUGCUCUCUAAGUCCAAAUCUCCAUUAGGAGCUGUCAAAGCUGACUGGUAAUCUGCAGCUAGAGUAAAAGAUUGCUGUUUUCAGCAUUUCUUAAUCAAAGAUGUUUCUUGGUACAGGGAAGGGGCUGACAUAUUGCAUUAAGUUAAUGUGCAUUUAGUGCUAUGCAAAAAAUAUGAAAGAACUGGCAUUUUGUCUGGAAAGAAAAAGGCAGUAACCUUUCCUUUUCAGAGAGAACUUUUGAUUUUUUCAGUGUGUAGCACAAGAGGACUUAAAGGAAGCCGAUCUUCAGCGUGGUGGGCAUGUAACAUUUCUACAGCUUUCAGCUGUACAACACGUGUUUUGCUUUCCAGUUAGGCGCUCAAAGUUUGAAAUGUUCCAAAUCACUAGUUACUUUUGGAAAUGAUUUUUUUUUUUUAACCCUAAAAUGUUGAUUUUUAAACCUAGAGAUCUGGAGGUAACAUCACUGUGCUUGUUAUUGGCACCGCAUUAGCACAUAUGACCCUAUUUUCUGUCAGACUUCUAGAAGAACUGAGCUGGUAGGGAUCAGGCGUUGGGUUUUGAAAACAGAAUGAUUUCUGAUCAUAAAGAGGGUCCCGUGUAAUGCACCCAAUAGCAACAGCACCGAGGCUGGUUUCUGGUUACAAGUGCAACUUAAUGGCUCUAGCAAAGAGAUCCGUAGCACUUGAUUCAGCAUGCUGCUAUGUGCUGCAAAACCAGAGCUUUCUCUUUGAAGUGGUAUGUGGCUGUGUAUGUUCUUCUAGGUUUUGAGCUGAAUUUACAUGUUUUUUAGACACACGUCCUGAAGAUCAGAAAUUCCACUUAUGGGAACAGCUGCCUUCAUCUUCACCAUUCAGGAUAAUUGUUUUGGAUCAGAGCUCUCCUACGUGAUUAAAAUGGCUAGUGAAUAAGUUCUAAUACAUCACCUGCUUACUGCUAUUUGUGCAGUACACAGCCUGUGAAUCGCAACCCUUUUCGGCCAUGUAACCAGUUAUAAAGCUCAGACUUUAACUGCAGCAGCAAGUACAGAAGAAAAUCUAAUGGUUUGCUUUAUAACACAGUUUGAAGUGGUUUUACGCCAUCAUCGCGUGUAAAGGCAGUAUCAGUAAUAUCGCAGAAUUGAACCAUUUUCUGAAUAGAACAUCCUUACAAAAGUGGCUGCGUGGUGGGGUUCUGAGCAUGCGUGCUUUCAUAAGCAAAAGACUUUCUUGCUCGGUUGCAUUAUGCAGUUUUUAGUGUUAGAGACAAAAUGAUUGUAAUUCUGUGGACUGCUGUUCCUGCUCAGGCACUUGUUAAAUUUUUCCAUGCUGGAGUGUGGAGCACUGUUACAGCCCAUGUAGUGUAUGUUUUUCCUUGCUCAUUAAAUUUAACAAGGUAAUUUCUUGUUUUCUCUUUUCUUAGUGCUUUUGUGAUCUAGCAUUGAACUGAUUUGACUGAUUAAGGGGAUUAAUUGCUGUGCAAAAAGCUAAUUAGAAAAAGGCAGUGUUCUCCAGAGAUUGCAAGUGCAGCAAUACAUUCCCUGACAGCAUUAGACAAGAAUAUGAUAAAAUCUGGUUAGUAUUAAUGAAGAUACCUGUUUAAUUAAACAACACUUUUGGUAGGCCUCAUCAAAAAAAAAAAAAAAAUUGAACUUUGGAUCAGGAUUUUGAUGGUUACAGCAACUUCAUAUUUAACUUUUCUUGUGAUAAACGCUGUUCAGGUGCAUGAAGACUGUCCUUGUCCCUCUUUAACAGACCCUGGGAUUUUAGCUGCCGUCGUACAGCUGGGAGUACCACGUGUUGCUUUUUUGUUCCUGUUCAUGUAGGGAAAUUCUACCUAUCUGUAACUGUUAGUUAAUUUGGUUUAACAAUACUAA